GAUGAACGCUGGCGGCGUGCUUAACACAUGCAAGUCGAACGGGAAACCUUUUAUUGAAGCUUCGGCAGAUUUAGCUGGGUUCUAGUGGCGGACGGGUGAGUAACGCGUGGGUAACCUGCCUUAUACAGGGGGAUAACAACCAGAAAUGGUUGCUAAUACCGCAUAAGCGCACAGGACCGCAUGGUCCGGUGUGAAAAACUCCGGUGGUAUAAGAUGGACCCGCGUUGGAUUAGCUAGUUGGCAGGGUAACGGCCUACCAAGGCGACGAUCCAUAGCCGGCCUGAGAGGGUGAACGGCCACAUUGGGACUGAGACACGGCCCAGACUCCUACGGGAGGCAGCAGUGGGGAAUAUUGCACAAUGGGGGAAACCCUGAUGCAGCGACGCCGCGUGAAGGAAGAAGUAUCUCGGUAUGUAAACUUCUAUCAGCAGGGAAGAUAGUGACGGUACCUGACUAAGAAGCCCCGGCUAACUACGUG
rnacentral:rRNA from 1 species